AUGUCCAAGCUUCAGAAGAGACUUGCCUCUAAGAUUCUCCACUGUGGCAAAAAGAUGGUCUGGCUGGACCUUAACAAGACCAACGAAAUCGCCAAUGCCAACACCUGCCAGCAGAUUCAAAAGCUGAUCAAAGAUGGGCUGAUAAUCCCAAGCCCCUGACUGUCCUUUCCUGGGCUUCAUGCAGGAAAAACACCUUGACCUGCCAAGAGGGCAGGAAUAUGGGCGUAAGUAAGUGAAAGGAUAUUGUCAAUGCUCGAGUGCCAAAGAAGUUACCCUGGAUGGGGAGGAUGCGAAUUCUGCAUCAGCUGGUCGGAAGAUACUGGGAAUCUAAGAAGACUGGCCACCACAUGUAUCACAGCCUAUACCUGAAGGUGAAAGAGAACAUGUUCAAAAAUACACGGAUUCUUAUGGAACACAUCCACAAGUUG
rnacentral:lncRNA from 1 species